rnacentral:lncRNA from 1 species
UUCAUAAAUCAUUGUUUGCUCAAUCAAACUCAGUUGUGAAAUAUGUUCUACAAAAUAAAGUCACUCUGGUUCAGAGGUCUAAAAUGGAAUCAAGGAAACCAUUCUGUGAAGGACUAUUUACACAAUCUCAACCUUGCAAAAACAGAAAUUUGCCUUGAAAGUUUGAAUUGGGCCAAACCAUCACAAACAGAAUAUCAUGAAAAAUCACCAAAUUUCAUUACUGCAGCAAUUCCUAAAUAGUAAUGAGCAAUGAACUGUGGACUCAUGUGCUAAGCCAGCCACAUCCACCAAUCAAUGAUAACUCUUUUAGACAACUUUUAAAACAACUAUGUAAUCACCCUCAGCAUCCCUUUGAAAAUCCAUACUCUCCUUCGUCUCCUUAGAAUACAAUUUGGCUUUAAGUGAAGUCUAUGUCUCUUGAAUUGCAAUUCCUAAGACCCCCAGUAAAUGCCUUGUGUUACUGCAUUGCAGUCUGGUCCUUUGUAUCUUCUUAGUUGACACUCUUAAAUUUAAUUUGCAUAAAGUUUUUAACAGAUGGUGUCAGAAGUGGGAUUCAAAGUAGAACUUCCAAAACUUCCAAGCACAUGGAAUUAUCAAAAGAGUUACACGCCAAGUCCACUAUGUCCAUCACUCUAUUACAGCAACUAGAGAUUAUGGGAUUCUCAAGACUCUGGAGAAAUGUAAUGCUGGGAACAACUUGGGAAGAUUGGGUCCAACUUCCAUUUGUAGAUUCAUAUAAUUCAUUAAGUUCAAAUAUUGAAAGAACAAAAGGAAGAAAGAAAUAAAGUUGGGUUCUUGAAAUCUGUAAUAAUAGCCCUUAAGUGGUGUUUUUGCUGCUUCAAACUUCAGAUCCUCCACAGAUGUGCUGGAAAGUGAAUAUGCAAGUCCUGCACACAUUCUGCUCUGUUCCCACCUCCUACCUUGCUGUGCUCCACUAUUCCAGGACACACUAGGCAAAGGAGAGAGGCUUGGAGGUGAGCCUGGAGGGACAGCUCUAAGCUAGAGUUACAGCAAAGGAACCAGGCAAGAGGAGGAAUGGGGAGCUUUAUGAAAUUUCUAUUUCUAGGACAUGUAGGUUUUAGCAAUCAUUACUAUUUUUGUUAAGCAGCCACAUCAAUGUUUCCUUUUGAUUUCUUAAGAUUUUAUUUAUGUCUACAGAUAAAAGAAUCCAGCUUAAUUUAUUCAUGGUGUGAAAUCAAGUUCCCCCCAUGAAUAUUCUCCUUCUAGUUCCAUAUUUAGCAU